rnacentral:rRNA from 1 species
GAUGAACGCUGGCGGCGUGCCUAACACAUGCAAGUCGAGCGAAGCACUUACUUUAGUUUUCUUCGGAAUGACGAAGUUUGUGACUGAGCGGCGGACGGGUGAGUAACGCGUGGGCAACCUGCCCUGUACAGGGGGAUAACAGUUAGAAAUGACUGCUAAUACCGCAUAGGCCCACAGCUUCGCAUGAAGCGGUGGGAAAAACUCCGGUGGUACAGGAUGGGCCCGCGUCUGAUUAGCUGGUGGGUAAGGUAACGGCUUACCAAGGCGACGAUCAGUAGCCGACCUGAGAGGGUGACCGGCCACAUUGGGACUGAGACACGGCCCAAACUCCUACGGGAGGCAGCAGUGGGGAAUAUUGCACAAUGGGGGAAACCCUGAUGCAGCGACGCCGCGUGAGCGAUGAAGUAUUUCGGUUUGUAAAGCUCUAUCAGCAGGGAAGAAAGUGACGGUACCUGACUAAGAAGCCCCGGCUAACUACGUG